rnacentral:rRNA from 1 species
GAUGAACGCUGGCGGCGUGCCUAAUACAUGCAAGUCGAGCGAACAGAUGAGGAGCUUGCUCCUCUGACGUUAGCGGCGGACGGGUGAGUAACACGUGGAUAACCUACCUAUAAGACUGGGAUAACUUCGGGAAACCGGAGCUAAUACCGGAUAAUAUAUUGAACCGCAUGGUUCAAUAGUGAAAGACGGUUUUGCUGUCACUUAUAGAUGGAUCCGCGCCGCAUUAGCUAGUUGGUAAGGUAACGGCUUACCAAGGCAACGAUGCGUAGCCGACCUGAGAGGGUGAUCGGCCACACUGGAACUGAGACACGGUCCAGACUCCUACGGGAGGCAGCAGUAGGGAAUCUGCCGCAAUGGGCGAAAGCCUGACGGAGCAACGCCGCGUGAGUGAUGAAGGUCUGCGGAUCGUAAAACUCUGUUAUUAGGGAAGAACAAAUGUGUAAGUAACUAUGCACGUCUGGACGGUACCUAAGCAGAAAGCCACGGCUAAAUACGU